ensembl:misc_RNA 7SK 7SK RNA
GGCUAGCCUUACUCAACUGGCUGCGACAUUGGUCACCCCAUUGAUCAUCAGCAUUGACUCAGCUGAUCUGGCUGGCUAGGCAGGUAUCCCCUUCCUCCCUCACUGCUCCAGGUGUAUCCCUCCUGAAGCUGCGCAGUCGGUAGAAGAGGACGACCAUCCCUGGUAGAGGAGGACCCAUCUUGGGUCAAGGUUAUACAAGUAGCUAUGCUCCCCUGCUAGAACCUCCAAACAAGCUCUCAAACUUUCUAAUUUAAGAAUGAAAGGGAGAUAUGACUAAGACACAUAGGAAUUUAAAAGCAUAAUAAAGAAAUCCUAU